GCGGCUCCGGGACCGGCCCCCGGCCGCACCCGGGGCUGCUCCGAGCGGGGGCGGCGGCCGGGACCCCCCCGCGGUACGGCCGGUCCCGGGGCGGGCACACACCGGGGGGGGCCUACACGGUUCCAGGAGGCUUCCAGUUUGGUUUACACACCGAGCAUGGGCGAAGCAGCUCCCGUUAACGCACCCAAGUUACGGCUGUGUGCACGCAGAAACCAUCUCAAUGUACUUCCUCUUUUUUUUUUUUUUUCUCCGCGCUUUGCUUCUUCCUCAGACUAACAGAGGGAAGUUAGUCAGGAGAUAAAGUAUGGAAAUUUGAUUAACUGCUCAGUAAUAGCAACAGCAUAACCUGGCUAUGACAGAGGAGCUCAGGGACCAGGUGAAAAAAACACACUUCUUCCUGGGCUUAUUUGCACUAAGCCAUCACCAUCUUUCAAGGGCUUGGCAGCCUCGCUGACUUCUGCAACACUCAUCUGACAUCUACUAAUGCAAAGGAAAUGAAACAGCAAUGGAAAUGAGUUACUGACUGGAGAAAUUUCAUUUUGCAAGCAUAUAUGAGCAUGCUCUUCAAGACUAGCAAGCAUGAGAACUUCUCGAUUUAAAUAGACUUUUUGGAGAGGAAGUUUGGAGGGGGGAGGAAGGUUGAGAAAGAACAGGAGGAAAUUGGAAAUGCUCAUAGAACAGGAAAUGUGCCUGAGACUAGUUAUUUUUCAAGUGAUGCACAUGAGGUGUCCCAGGGUACAUACGUUGGCUUGUUGAAGACGAGAGGAUCUCAAGCUCGAUCUGUUUUUUAUCAGCAUUCCAACUGAUUAUUUUCCCCUCCUUUAUAAGGCAACAAGAAAAGAAUCUGAUAUGAUACAUCUCAGCACUGGAUAACCAUUUCAUAUUACAACCAUUCUGAUACUUGAUCACAAUUAGAAAAAUUUAACAGACAUAUACUUCUAUCUCUACAUACAAAAUCUGCAAGGUAUUAAAAUUUAGCAAUCUGCAGUUACAAGCAUCAAUAAAGUCAUGAUAUUGUCACUGUC